GUCAGAUGUGAAAGACCCGGGGCGUCAACCUCGGAAUUGCAUUUGAAACUGGCAGACUAGAGUACUGUAGAGGGGGGUAGGAAGUUUCAGGUGUAGCGGUGAAAUGCGUAGAGAUCUGAAGGAAUACCGGUGGCGAAGGCGGCCCCCUCGGACAGAUACUGACACUCAGAUGCGAAAGCGUGGGGAGCAAACAGGAUUAGAUACCCUGGUAG
rnacentral:rRNA from 1 species